UUCCUUCUGACUUUGGGAGUCUGGUCCUUUCUCUGUCUUCGGGACUCUCUUAGGAUGGGCCUGGUCUCUCAAUCAUUGAGUCUCAUCUUGUUCCCUCACCUGCCCGAGUAUUCCUUUUCUUAAUUUUGUAAAUGCUCAUCAGAAUGUUAGAGGUUCCAGAAUGUUCGGGGUCACUGCAGCCUGGGAUGUAGGUAAGGCCAUCGUUCUGUGGAGGCUGAGGAAAUGGCUAUAGAAAUGGUUGAGAUGUUUAUUGGGCAGCACACGGAGACCUAUUCUACAAGGGAAGUAUAUUUCAAAGAAAUCCUCCCUCCCUUCCUCUCUUCUUCCCCCACUUCAAUUUCUCCUUCCUUCUCCCCAACAAUUUUUUCUCUUCUUUUCCUCCUUACCUCUUUCUGUGUCUCCAUAACAUUUAUGUAGAAUGUUACCAUUUUUCAGAGCUGUGAGCCCCUUUGAGGGAAGUGCAUUUACCUAAGGAAUCUCUGCCACAGAUCCUCCUCCGAGCUGAAGUUUCACUACUUUUACCACAAUGUAUAUCAGACAUAAUUAAUCAUUAAUUCAUUCCAUGCAAAAAUCUUAGUGUCUGCUCUACUUUUUUCCCCCCAUUUCCUGCAUUAAAAAGCUAUUAUUCAUAGUUCUCCACUCCCACUCCAGCGAACAGUCUCUGGUUCUCUGUGGGUGGCCGGAGAGGGUUCCUGAACAGAUGUGUAGGGAAUUAGUUCUGGCAUCCAUAGAUUUGAGUCUGUGUUUAGUAGUGGCUACCUGAAUGCUUGCCCACUCCCACUGUCUUGUUUUUUCUCUUUCAGUUCAAUUCUGUUAUAUAAAUGAACAUUUCUAAUUUCUGAGAAUGUACCUUCUCACAACCGUGAGUACCAGCUGCUUACUACCCAGAGAUCUCAAAAUUAGACUGUGCUAUGUGCCAAAAAUUCUGUUCUUGACCUACUCACGGAUUUUAAAGGAUGUUAGAAAGGUAUAUUUCAGCAAUUAGUCUCAAGAUUAUGAUACGGAUAGUGUCCCUUGGCCAACCUCUAUAAUUUUCUUUGAACAGUUUACCAACAGUUCUUCAAUACCAAAUGCAAAAGUGUAGCCCAG
rnacentral:lncRNA from 1 species